rnacentral:rRNA from 1 species
UACGGGGGGGGCAAGCGUUGUUCAGAAUUACUGGGCGUAAAGGGCUCGUAGGCGGCCAACUAAGUCAUACGUGAAAUCCCUCGGCUUAACCGGGGAACUGCGUCUGAUACUGGAUGGCUUGAGAUUGGGAGAGGGAUGCGGAAUUCCAGGUGUAGCGGUGAAAUGCGUAGAUAUCUGGAGGAACACCGGUGGCGAAGGCGGCAUCCUGGACCAACACUGACGCUGAGGAGCGAAAGCCAGGGGAGCAAACGGG